rnacentral:rRNA from 1 species
AUUGAACGCUGGCGGCAUGCCUUACACAUGCAAGUCGAACGGUAACGCGGGGCAACCUGGCGACGAGUGGCGAACGGGUGAGUAAUGCAUCGGAACGCGCCCGGUAGUGGGGGAUAACUGCUCGAAAGAGCAGCUAAUACCGCAUACGACCUGAGGGUGAAAGGGGGGGAUCGCAAGACCUCUCGCUAUCGGAGCGGCCGAUGUCGGAUUAGCUAGUUGGUGGGGUAAAAGCCCACCAAGGCAACGAUCCGUAGCUGGUCUGAGAGGACGACCAGCCACACUGGGACUGAGACACGGCCCAGACUCCUACGGGAGGCAGCAGUGGGGAGUUUUGGACAAUGGACGCAAGUCUGAUCCAGCCAUGCCGCGUGCGGGAAGAAGGCCUUCGGGUUGUAAACCGCUUUUGUCAGGGAAGAAAUCUUCUGAGUUAAUACCUCGGGAGGAUGACGGUACCUGAAGAAUAAGCACCGGCUAACUACGUGCCAGCCGCCGCCGUAAUAC